GGGAUACUUUAUUUGUAUAGAAUACAAUAGAUCACACUGGAACUGUGUACAACAUUAUUCAGGUCAGAGUUCACAGUUUGAAAACUGUGCAUAGUUCUAAUCACCAUUUCACAGGAAAGAUAUGAUUGUGAGGAUGUGGAGGAGAUCUACAAAGAUGUUGCCAGAAUGGAAAACUGUAGCUAUUGUUUGAUUAGAUAAUUUACUGUUACUUUCUUUGGGAUUGAAGACAGAGUAUAAUCUCCAAGGUCAUAAAAUGAUGAGGGGCCUAGAUAGAAUGAACACGGAGGACCUCAGCAAAUAUCACUUUAUUUGUGAAAGGAUUGGAGACGAGGUGGUCUCACUCUGACAAUGGAAGAUGCCCAGGACAGAAAGUGGAGUCACAUUUGUUACCCAUCAAACCACAAGCAACAAUUCCAGCAUCUGUAAAAUCUUGAAAGAUCGUAACGUGUGUCUCUGACACCACCAAUUCAAUAUCUGGGAUGCAGAUCAUGGGGGAAUUACCAAUACUGUUUUGUAAUUUGUGCAUUAUUUCUUUCAAUCGCAGUCCACUGUAAAGCCUUUCAACAAUGUAAACACUUCUCUCAUUCUUCCCUUGGUGUAGAUUUGUAACCAUAUCUGUGCAUUGAACAUCACUUUCAACCCCAAAGUAAAAUCUGAUGGUCAUUCUGCUCCACCACCACCUCCCAAAGAUGCCUUAACAACAAGAUUAUCAAUCAAACUCUUUGAUUAUCAAGCAAACAAUUUACAGAAGCUGUUUAAACUACCGACCUAUGUGUGGUUACAGGGAGAAUGUGUAAAGCCCGUUUGACGCACAUAGGUCUGUUGUAACACAAUAGUUGCAUUGCAAAGAAACUUUGUGUCAAAUAAAUUAAUCUUAUCACGACAAUUUGCAAUGGGGAAGAGGUUUAGAGGCUGGGGAGUUUCAGAUUUGCAAUGUUAUUUUUCCCUACAGGAUCUUUUCAAUAGCAAUAAACGUAUUAUUGUUACUGUAAGCCAAAAUACUAAAGGUAUAUUGUUUAAUAGCGUAUCGUUGCAUAAAUGUCAACAGAAGUGAUUACUUGUCAAUUUCAAUCAAGCAUUUGCUGUAUUAUAAGACAGUGGUGACAAUGAUUAGUGCAUAGAGGUAACAUGGAAACAGGAUCUUUACCCAACACUGCUUAAAUCUAAGACAAUUCUUUUUUCUGCUUGUCAAUUUCCAAAUGAAAUACCGUUCCCUAAUUCAUCACUCGCACAAAAUGUAUUCCUGUUUGGGAAACGUGAUCGAGCAAAACUCCAGCUAUGCUGAACGCAGCACAUACAACCACUCUGCAUCUAAGUCCACCAUCGUUCAGAGUUUAGCCUGCUCUUGACACCACUGCAUGUUCCAAUUCUGCAGCCAAUCAUUACCACCACUAUGCAGUCCCCUGUGCUAAUUCCCAUCAUGAAUGUGUCCAUGUUGAUACUCUUAUCCAACA